rnacentral:rRNA from 1 species
AGUGAACGCUGGCGGUAGGCCUAACACAUGCAAGUCGAACGGCAGCACAGGAGAGCUUGCUCUCUGGGUGGCGAGUGGCGGACGGGUGAGGAAUACAUCGGAAUCUACUCUGUCGUGGGGGAUAACGUAGGGAAACUUACGCUAGUACCGCAUACGACCUACGGGUGAAAGCAGGGGAUCUUCGGACCUUGCGCGAUUGAAUGAGCCGAUGUCGGAUCAGCUAGUUGGCGGGGUAAAGGCACACCAAGGCGACGAUCCGUAGCUGGUCUGGGAGGAUGAUCAGCCACACUGGAACUGAGACACGGUCCAGACUCCUACGGGAGGCAGCAGUGGGGAAUAUUGGACAAUGGGCGCAAGCCUGAUCCAGCCAUACCGCGUGGGUGAAGAAGGCCUUCGGGUUGUAAAGCCCUUUUGUUGGGAAAGAAAUCCAGCUGGCUAAUACCCGGUUGGGAUGACGGUACCCAAAGAAUAAGCACCGGCUAACUUCGUGCCAGCCGCCGCCGUAA